GACUCUAAACCUCACAGACUAAACCUCUACAGCUCACAGACUCUAAACCUCUACAGCUCACAGACUCUAAACCUCUACAGCUCACAGACUCGUAUCCUCACUGACACUAAACCUCACAGACUCUAAACCUCUACAGCUCACUGAUUCUUAACCUCACUGACUCUAAACCUCUAAACCUCACAGACUCUAAACCUCUACAGUUCACAGACUCGUAUCCUCACUGACUCUAAACCUCACAGACUCUAAACCUCUACAGCUCACAGACUCUUAACCUCACUGACUCUAAACCUUACUGGCUCGAGGAGGAAAGGAUACAGUACUCCUCACAGUUAGCUGGCUAGCUCAGCGCUAUCAAGAGAUGACCAGAGAGGGUCUGUGUUUUUUCCCACGCGUAUCUAAGAAAUGAUGUCAUUCCGAGCUCCAACUUCCUGUUUCCGAGAUUCUAAGCUCCGCCCUCUGCCACACCAGCAGAACCCGUCCUGGGGAAUGGGAGUGUGAAACCCACGACUAGAGAACGCAGGAGGACGUGUUGAGGGUGGAAAUCAGGGCUGUAAAUAAUGGUGGUUGUGGUGGUGGUGGUGGGGGGGGGUUGCGAUGGGAGAGCUGAAGGUUGUGUGGUGUGAAAGCAGUGAGGUGAAAUCUAAAGAAUGGCCGGUCUGAGAGAGUUCCUGUGUCACAGACCCCAGCACUAACCCUUCACCCCUCCCUCUAGCUCGCUCUCUCGCUCGUCCCCAAGCCGGCCCCAGUCAAUUCCCCCGGGCCUGAGGCAAGUCCCCUUUCAGUCUCCUGUGACACUCAUUAUGAGUGUGGGAACUGAAUCCGGCCCUCAGUCCGUGCCCCUGUGGUCCUUCUCACCCCUCAGCAACCUGCCCACCCCCUCACCCCCCCCCCUUCUGUCCUGCACUGAUAUGAUGAGACCUGCUCCGUCUCUAACAUCCCUGACAUCUCCCAGAACAGAGCUGAGAGCUGUCUUUCCCUCUCUCCAUCAUCCACCCCCCCCACCACCGCCCGCCCCGCCAACCACCACCACAAAAACCCCUCCAUCCCUGACGCUAUCUCUGCACCGAUAACCAUGGGAACGGCUGUGUGGGAACCGACCGCUCGGCUCGGCUCACCAAAAUAGAUCCUGGAGAGAAAGAGAGAAAAGUGGAACAGAGAUCGAGGAAUGUCUGGUAGGGCAGGGGGCGGGGUUAAAGCAAUGAUGGACAGAAAACGUCUCCAAAUCUUCAUCCUAUUAAUCCGUCUGCGAGGAGCGUGUGCUGUACACACCCCUGGUGAUGAGCCGUUGCUAUGGAAACGAUCAAUGAAGGUAUCAGAGUGAGCACUACAGUCAGAGAGAGCUGCUGUUAGAGAGAAUUUAUCAACAUGAUGUGAACACUGACAAGGUGAAAAGCACGCCGGGUUAACCUUCGCCCCGCUCCUCCUCUUCCUCAUGCGCAAAUGCGCUCAUGCGGUUCUUGUGAGAAAAAACGAUCCCUCCAUCCGGGAAGGAGAGAGAUGGAGGAACGAGUGUGUCGUGUUUUUUUGCUAAUUUUCCAUUCCACUUUUAUCCUGCCUCUAUGGUGAUGUCGGGCGCUCCCGCUCUCAGAGACGUUCCCAGGCUGGACCGUCCGUCCCACAGGAGGAACCUCCGCUCGACCCUUCCCAACCCGGAGAACACACACACACACACACACACACACAGACGCACAGAGCUAUCGAUAGCAUCGGCUCUGGAAGCUCUGCCAGCCACUGAUAACUCCACCCCUCAACCCCCCAUUCCCAAGCUUGAUGCACACACACACACACACAUUUCUGUUCAGUGGUCUGUUCAUGUUUCACACUUUCAGAAACAGGAAGAGGCCUAAGUGAGAACCCUGUGGUUCUAAGCACUAGCCUGUUUUCCACUGAACAGUAAAAGUGUUGAGUGGUCAGAGUUCCCUCAGUCAGGGUAGCAGUGUGGUUCCUCAGCUCGCAUCACCACUGAGGAACAUCUUCACAAAUUUCAGAACAUUACUGACUCAGCUAGCAGCAGGAGCUAGCAUAACGUCAAGCUGAUUAUCUGAUUAAUGCACUAUCAUAAUCUGAUUAAUGCACUAAAGAAGGAGAGAACAGAUUAAGGAGAACGACUCGGUACAGCAACUCCACUGAGAGAGAUUCCAAGUAGAACCUCUUUAUAAAUCUAGAACCAUUAACCAUCUAAACUAAGUGUGUGUGUGUGUGUGUGUGUGUGUGUGUAGUGUUGCAUUCUUUGUAACAAAAAGUACUCAUAGCCCCACCCACCCCUUUCUGAACCAGACCCUAGUGGUUUUUUCUCACACACACACACCUUUCAGACCCAGGCUGUUCCUCCUUUAGCAAACACACAACUAUGGGUCACUGAUUCUCUCCCUGCAAAAAACACACACACAGUCACACAGACACAGACAAAAACACACACAAGCUCUUGGGUUCCGUUCUUCUGUUUUGUUUCACACACACACACACACAAUUCCCAUGGAGAAGCAGCAGCACCAGAGCCACCACUACAAUAACAGUGACAUUCACACCACAGUCCUGUUAGAACGAACAGACAUCUACGUGUGUGUUGUGCAGCUACAGGAAAAUCAUCAUCAUCAUGUGGGUGGAGUGAUGAAGAGUUCCUGUCACCUCCCUGAAGAUUGUUACUUUUCUCUAACCGCACCACUCUGCGGCAUUUAUUCCACUCACACCACAGCAACUCAUCACUAUGUACUUUUUAUCCGAUUAUAGUUACAUUUUACAAGUUACUUCCUGUUGUCACUCACGUUACAGCAGCUAUAAACAGCUGUUCCAGCUUCACCUCUGACACACACACAGCACUAACACACACACACAGCACCAACACACACACACAGCACUAACACACACACAGCACUAACACACACACAGCACUAACACACACACACACACAGCACUAACACACACACAGCACUGACACUGGAGACUCCUUACACACACACACACACACACACAGCACUGACACACACACAGCACUGACACUGGAGACUCCUUACACACACACACACACACACAGCACUAACACACACACAGCACUAACACACACACAAACACAGCACUGACACACACACACACAGCACUAACACACACACAGCACUAACACACACACACACAAACACAGCACUGACACACACACAGCACUGACACUGGAGACUCCUUACACACACACACA